GUGGAGAAUGUCAUAGAUCAGUGGUUGCUAUAAGCCACUUCGUAGUUACGCAUUGAGCAUGCGCGAGAUUCUGGCGUGAACUUUUGCCAAAGGUCAAUUGUACAUAAAACGCUCGCUGGGUCUCCGUGGCGUGUGAUAGCAAGUGUAACCGUACGUACUGUAUUAUUUUUGUCUAAGUUGGAAAUAACAUCACAUUUAACUAAGAUUUGCCCAAUAUAGAAUGUGUGUAAACUUCAUUGAUACAUGUAGAACAAAUACAUGUUAUUUGUUCAAUUUUGUUGUCUGUUACUUAGUUGAUAAAUGAAAAAAUGCGUGGUUAUAACUGAUAUCCUGUCUUU